rnacentral:rRNA from 1 species
UACGGGGGUUGCAAGCGUUGUUCGGAAUAACUGGGCGUAAAGCGAGCGCAGGCGGUUCGAUCAGUCUGAAGUGAAAUCCCGGGGCUCAACCCCGGACCUGCUUUGGAUACUGUCGAGCUUGAGUACGUGAAAGGAAGGUAGAAUUCCAGGUGUAGCGGUGAAAUGCGUAGAUAUCUGGAGGAAUACCGGUGGCGAAAGCGGCCUUCUGGCACGAUACUGACGCUGAGGCUCGAAAGCGUGGGGAGCAAACAGG